AACUUUACUGAUCGCAGUCGGCCUUGUGUCGGCGACGGAUCUUUCAAAUGUCUGCCCUAUCAAUUUUCGAUGGUAGGUGACCUGCCUACCAUGGUGAUAACGGGUAACGGGGAAUCAGGGUUCGAUUCCGGAGAGGGAGCCUGAGAAACGGCUACCACUUCCAAGGAAGGCAGCAGGCGCGCAAAUUACCCAAUCCCGGCACGGGGAGGUAGUGACGAAAAAUACGGAUACGGGACUCAUUAGAGGCUCCGUAAUUCGAAUGAGUACAAUUUAAAUCCUUUAACGAGGAUCAACUGGAGGGCAAGUCUGGUGCCAGCAGCCGCGGUAACUCCAGCUCCAGAAGCGUAUAUUAAAGUUGUUGCAGUUAAAAAGCUCGUAGUUGGAUCUGGGUCGCAUGGCUACAUGCCGUUGCUCGUAUUCCUGGCCUGGUUCACACCGGGACGGGUUUGUGAGUCGGUGUCGUGGUUGUGCAGCCUUUCUGCCGUGUCUGUUUCGACAGGUGUUAGCAUGAUUGGUGGGUUCGUCCUGCUGAUCUGUUGACAUGCUUCCAGGUGCCCUUAACCGGGUGUCGGGGGCGGACGGCACGUUUACUUUGAACAAAUUUGAGUGCUCAAAGCAGGCCCGUGUGCCUGAAAAUUCUUGCAUGGAAUAAUGGAAUAGGACUUCGGUUCUAUUUUGUUGGUUUUCGGAUCCGAAGUAAUGGUUAAAAGGGACAGACGGGGGCAUUUGUAUGGCGGUGUUAGAGGUGAAAUUCUUGGAUCACCGCCAGACAAACUACAGCGAAAGCAUUUGCCAAGGAUGUUUUCAUUGAUCUGGAGCGAAAGUCAGAGGUUCGAAGACGAUCAGAUACCGUCCUAGUUCUGACCAUAAACGAUGCCAACUGACGAUCCGUGGUGGCGCGAUUAU
rnacentral:rRNA from 1 species